GGAUGAGCAUUGAGGAUGUGAUUGAGGAAUGCAAGCUGUUUUACUUUGCUGGCCAAGAGACCACUUCGGUCUUACUGGUGUGGACUAUGGUUUUAUUAGCAAGGUAUCCCGAUUGGCAAAGUAAAGCAAGAGAGGAGGUUUUGCAUGUUUUGGGUGACAGUAAACCUGAUGCUGAUGGCCUUAAUCGUCUCAAAGUUGUAAGUCCCUAGCAUGUCUUUUGAAGGUCCGAUCAAUGAGGUCGACAACUCAAAAACUUGGUUUUUUUUGUUUCGCUAAUUCUACAGGUAACAAUGAUAUUGUACGAGGUUCUAAGGUUGUACCCACCAGUGGUUGAGCUAGGACGUUCCGUUCCAAAAGAAAUAAAACUGGGGAAUUUGUUGUUACCAGCAGGAGCAGAAGUUUCGGUUCCGAUCCUGCAGAUCCACCAUGACAAAGAUCUUUGGGGUGACGACGCACGGGAAUUUAAGCCAGAGCGGUUGGCGGAAGGGGUUUCCAAAGCAACAAAGAGUCAAGUCACGUUUCUGCCAUUCGGAUGGGGUCCUAGGAUCUGUAUUGGCCAAAAUUUUGCCAUGAUGGAAGCCAAAAUGGCGAUGGCUAUGAUUCUCCAACGCUUCUGGUUCGAGCUUUCCCCUUCCUAUGCUCACUCUCCUUACAGCAGGGCAACUCUUCGUCCACAGCAUGGUGCACAGAUAGUUUUACAUAAACUUGGCUCUAAUUGAAUUGUUAUGUAAACAGAUCUUUUUGAAAAUAUAGCGUUUUAGUGUAUCGUCAAAGUCCGGUGUCUGUAAUGGUACAAUUCCGAUGCAUGAAUAGUAAAUUUUAAGAUGUUUGGUUAAGUCCGAAAUAAUAUGCAGAAAUUGAGUGUCUUGAAUGGAUGUAGUAUUUAAUGGUGGACAUAGUUGAGGGAUUAAUGUGGUAAUUAUCGAACAAAUAAUUGCAUAUGGUACAAAGACUUAUAUGGAAAUUAGAGCGGGGGGAGUAGAAAAUGACUACUUUGCUUUGGGCAUCAAUUUAGAAAGAUUUAAAGUACAAAUGUAUUAUUAGUUUAAAGGAUUUGUUUUAAAGAAGGAAUGACAAUUAAACCUCAUGGUUGAUUUGUGGAAGGGAACCGAUGAUGGGAUGAUUAUUCUUAGUGGUAAAAAAAAAACUAUUAAGGAGGUUAUUAUACUUGUUAUCAAUUUCUCAAAAUUUGAAUGGGUUUAAGUCAGAUUAUAUCGAGCUUGUUAGAUGAGUUCACGGACCAAGCUUGCAUGAUAAUGGCUGCUUACAGAAAUGUAUCUAUAGUUUUCUACAAAGUCAUAUGUGAAAUUAUGCAUUGGUACCGCAUAAACAUGUUUUAUGUCUAGAAUAUUAUACGUGUCUAUGUGCAUGGAAUCUACCUAGUAUAUCAUAUCAAUGAACAGUAUCAAUGGUGGACCUCAAAAGUAUUUUUGGGGGAUCAGAAUUAAACUGUAUGUUUUUAUGAAAGUAAAAAUUUAAUUUCACUAUUUUAUAGUCAAUUUCUUUUUAAUUUUUGAAGGAUUAAAUCAAAUUUUUAUAAAUUUUUAGGAGGUUGAAGUACAAUUUUAUCAUUACUAAUUUAAAAUUUUAUAAAUUAUAAAAAAUAUAAAUAAAAAAUUUUAUAUUUUAGGAUAGCCAAGGCUCCUGCCAACUCUAACUCACUGAAUAGUAUAAAUAAAUAAAUACCAUCAUCUAAAAUAUGGGUAAGUGUCCAAAAUAUGAUUUUGGUGAAAAUAUGUAGGGUUGGUCUCAUGGAAGUGUAAAGACAAGAACCCCGCUAAUGUAUGGGAUGUGUAAAGUUGAAUCUAGGGAGCAAAUAGGAGUGAAUCAUUUUGGUAACAUUUGGACAAGAAACAUAAUGAACAAAAUGAAAGGAGAGGAAGCUAGUAAAAGAUUUUUUUGGGUCAUAUAAUUUGUUUGGCAUAUAUUUUUAUAAUUUUUAAAUAUCAUUUUGGAGUUGAAUUAUAACUUUUUUUUAUAUAUUAUCUUAAAAUUUUAUAAAAUUUAAGGAGUUAAAACGUAAUUAUUCCAUGGGUCAGAGCUGCCCUCGCUUUGCAUUUCUUUGAGAUUCAGCCUUAUCUCAAUUGAGGGUUGAGUAGAAAGAUUUGGUGGAGCAAGCAAAGCUAUCAAUCAAGGUUGGAGAAAGCUUAGGAGGUCACAAUGCAUAAUUAUUUAAAUGUAAUUCUAAUAUUUAAAUAAAAUUUAUUAAUAUAAUAUCAGCAAGUGUUAAAUAUAAUGAUCAGAUACCAUUAUAUUUUUAGAAAGAGAAAAUAUGUUUAAACCUUAAAAACGGCGUUACUAAAAAUAAUAAUCACAAAUCUUGAAAUAUAAAAAAUAAAUUUUUUAAUAUAAUUAAAAUUUAAUUUGAAAGCCGAGCUGGAUAAAAUUCUAAUUUUAGAUAAUGGUACCAACAACAAAUCAAUAUUUAAAUUAAAAUUAAUCUAAAUUUAAUAUAAUCAAAUUGGACUCUAAUAUUAAAUUUAAUAUAAUCAAGGUUCAUGAACUUUAUACCCUAUGCUUUACGUAAUUGAAAAAAAAAUCAUUGGACAUAAAAGUCUACGAAAAGUUUCACUAUAUUAAUAAAUAAAUAAAUAAAAAAUAUUGCUACAAGAUUACAACACAAAGUUACAAUAAGAGCUUAUAACUUAACAAAGGCUAUCAAUAAAUAAUCUCAAACAAACUAAAGAGAAAUAUUGAGAGUCCCACCAAAUAGUGAUUGCCUUUAAAAGUUAAAAACUCGAAGUUAUAGUAUCUCAAAUGAAAUUAAACCAUGAACAUUAAAUUUUUCGAGUCUACUAGCUACUGUAAAAAAUUGAGCUCCAACGGACAACAAAUGAACCUUUGAUCGAAGAAAAUACGAAAAUUAGUCUCGGUAAAUCAAGCUGCCAAACUUACUUUUUAUCUUAUCUUUAAUUUGUAAUAAAAUUCAAAAUUAAGGUUUUGUUUGUUUCACUUAGAACAACUUUCAAAAAAUUAAUUUUGGAAAAUGGAUUGAUUUUUCGAAAUAGAUGAUAUUUUAUUGUGUAAAAAUUUUAUUUGUUGUUUGAUGAACUUUUUUUUAAAUCAUUUUUUUAGAAUUAUUUUUAGUGAAACAAAUAUAUCAUAAAUAUAUUUGUUACAAAAUAUUAUAUUAGUAUUUUCUUUUGACAAUUAAAGUUUAUUUUAUGAUAAGACAAUAUUUUAUAAUAAUUAAUAUCAUAUAUACUUAAUAAUAAAUCAUGUCUAAUUAAAAUUUAAGUUAAAUUAAAUAUAUUAAUAAAGCUACAUAUAAUCAUAUUUUAUAUAAUUAAAAUAUUAAUAUAAAUAUUUUUCAAUAAGAUAUUAAAGAAUAUUUAAAAUUUAAAUUUAUUAUUACUAAAAUUAAUUAUUAAAAUAAAAAUGUAAUAUUAAAUAAUUUAUCUAAUGAUAAGUUAUAUUAAUAAUUUAUUAUAUCAUUAAAUAAAAAUAAUUAAAUAUGUAUGUUUAAUAAUAUUAUGUUAUAAUAUUCAUUAUUAAUAUCUUAAUAUUCUUAAACAGCCGUGUCUCAAAGAUGGUUGUGAUGGUGAUGUGAUGAUGCAGCCCCCCUUCUUACAAUUACAAUAAUUUUUAGUGCAAUAAUUAAAGUUGCUGAGUGGUAAAGUAAACUUCUUUUGACUGAGAUGCAUGUAAUAUAUGGAUGUUGAGGUUUUAGACUGCGCCAUCUUUAAAGGGGUUAAAUUAUAUAUUUAUAUAAUAUGAUUAUUGUUUAUGAAUAUAAUAUUAUAGAUAAGUUUUUAUACAUAUUAAUAUGUAUUUUAUUUUAAUGUUAAUAUGUAGUUUUUUAGAUGUGGAUUCACCUAUAUAAUGAUAUGAACUCAUUAUGCAGUCUCAUGAAAUAUGCAAACACAUAUAGUGUAAAUAUAAAGUAUGAACCACCAAAAGUACAGAUCAACACCUAAUUGAAUAAUUGGAUAACAGAUAGGUAAUAAUAAAUAUCAUUCACUAUCCCCUCUUGUUUUAAUUUAUUUUAUUUCCAGUGAGUUAUUUUUUUUAUGAUAAAUUUGCAACAAAUGUUUUUAUCAUUAUUUUGUUGGUAAAUGAUAAUAAGAUUAAAUUUACUUUCGUAAGCUCCUUCAAUUCUUUGGAGUUAGUGGUUUUUUAUUCUGAUCUUUUUUUCUUAUUAAAUUUUUUAUAAUAAAUGUGUUUAUAGAUGAGGUUAGAUUAUAAUUGAAUUAUUUUAUAGCAUUAACAUAAUUUAGAUGGAUUAAAAUUUAUUCUACUAAAAAUAUAAAUUUAAAAUUUUACUUCAAUUUAUCUUAAUUUAUAAAUGAUGAAUUUAAAUUUACUUUUUCCCCAUUAUAUUCAAUUUUCCACAUAAUAUUUGGCCUAGAACAAAAACUAGAACAAUAAAACAAAUAUAAACUAUGCUACAAAGAGUAUACAGCUACAGAAAGCUGAAAUGUUUUCCAAAAAUUAUAUUGUUAACUUUUAAAAAAAAUAUUUUAGCUAUUUAUCAUCAUGAAGAAAAAAGAUACAGUCAUGCACCUGGCCUCAUGCUUCAACACCUCAACCUAGAUUCUCAUCACCUGUAUUUAUCAUCGAUUCAGAUCUUUAUUUUUACUAUAUUCUAGAUCUCCCUAUAAAUAUAUCUUCAAACUUCCUUUGGUUAAGUUCAUUCAUAGAUGGGUGAGUAAACUUGAGCUUCAGCUUUCCACAAACACCUUAAUUUGAAGACACUGUUCUCUCAUGCUAAAAACCACAUGGACGUUUACCAUGUAAUUAGAGAGUUGGUUUCAUUGCUUGUUGUUGGGUUAUUAAUGAUAUGGGGAUGGAGAGCUUUAAACUGGGUAUGGCUGGCUCCAAAGAGGCUCGAAAGGUGCUUGAGACAACAGGGUUUAGCAGGGAAUUCUUACAGGUUCCUUUCUGGUGACAUAAAAGAGCUCUUCACUAUGAGCAGACAAACAAGAGCCAAACCUAUGCCUCUUAGUGAUGAUAUUGGGCCUUAUGUUGUUCCUUUUCAACAUCAAACUGUCAACCAGUAUGGUAUGUUUUUUUGUUUAAUCUGCAAUUUAUGAUAAUUCUUUUUUAUUUAUGUAUGGAAUUUAUUGGGAGGAAAUGCAGGAAAGAAUUCAUUUACGUGGUUUGGUCCAAGACCAAGGGUGAACAUUACGGACCCUGAAAAAAUAAAAGAAAUACUUAACAAAUUUAAUGACUUCCAGAAGGUACGUACCAAUCCACUUGUUCAUUUGCUUGUAAGCGGCCUUGUUAACCUCGAAGGAGACCGAUGGAGCAAGCAUAGAAAAAUCAUAAACCCUGCAUUUCAUCAAGAUAAGUUGAAGGUAUAGAAUAGUGAUGGGUACUCAGACUUUAAAGAAAACAUCAUACUUAAACCUAUGCUUUUCUGACUUAGAAAAUAAUUGGAUGCAGAAUAUGUUGCCAGCAUUUUAUCAAAGUUGUAGUGACAUGUCAAGCAAAUGGGAGAAGAUGGUGUGUACAGAAGGAUACUGUGAGUUAGAUGUGUGGCCUUAUCUCGUAGAUUUGACAAGAGAUGUGAUUUCCCGAUCUGCUUUUGGAAGCAGCUUCGAAGAAGGCAAACGAAUUUUCCAAUUACCAGAGGACCAACUCGUUCUCACAAUCAAAUUAAUACAAACUGUUUACAUUCCAGGAUGGAGGUAACCCUCAACUUAAUUUACUUGAAAAAGGUUGCAAAUGUUGGAAUUCGCUAAAAGCGUGUUUGUUUUCUUGAAGGUUUUUGCCAACAAAGACAAACGGGGAGAUGAAGAUGAAAUACAAAGACAUAAAAGAGUCGCUUAGGGAAAUGAUAAAGAGAAGAGAGAAGGCAAUUAAAGCAAGGGAAGAGAGCAAUGAGGACUUGUUGGACAUACUUGUGGAAUCCAAUAUCAGAGAAAUGGAAGCAAAGAAUAUGGGGAUGAGCAUUGAGGAUGUGAUUGAGGAAUGCAAGCUGUUUUACUUUGCUGGCCAAGGGACCACUUCGGUCUUGCUGGUGUGGACUAUGGUUUUAUUAGCAAGGCAUCCCGAUUGGCAAAGUAAAGCAAGAGACGAGGUUUUGCAUGUUUUGGGUGACAGUAAACCUGAUGCUGAUGGCCUUAAUCGUCUCAAAGUUGUAAGUCCCUAGCAUGUCUUUUGAAGGUCCGAUCAAUGAGGUCGACAACUCAAAAACUUGGUUUCUUUGUUUCGCUAAUUCUACAGGUAACAAUGAUAUUGUACGAGGUUCUAAGGUUGUACCCACCAGUGGUUGAGCUAGGACGUUCCGUUCCAAAAGAAAUAAAACUGGGAAAUUUGUUGUUACCAGCAGGAACAGACGUUUUGGUUCCAAUCCUGCAGAUCCACCAUGACAAAGAUCUUUGGGGCGACGACGCACGGGAAUUUAAGCCAGAGCGGUUCACGGAAGGAGUUUCCAAAGCAACAAAGAGUCAAGUCACGUUUCUGCCAUUCGGAUGGGGUCCUAGGAUCUGCAUUGGCCAAAACUUUGCCAUGAUGGAAGCCAAAAUGGCGAUGGCUAUGAUUCUCCAACGCUUCUGGUUCGAGCUUUCCCCUUCCUAUGCUCACUCUCCUUACAGCAUGGCAACUCUUCGUCCACAGCAUGGUGCACAGAUAAUUUUACAUAAACUUGGCUCUAAUUGAAUUGUUAUGUAAAUAAAUCUUUGUGAAAAUAUAUAGCUUGUUAGUGUAUCGUCAAAGUCCGGUGUCUGUAAUGGUACAAUUCCGAUGCAUGAAUAGUAAAUUUUGAGAUGUUUAGUGAAGUCCGAAAUAAUAUGCAGAAAUUGAGUGUCUUGAAUGGAUGUAGUAUUUAAUGGUGGACAUAGCUGGGGGACUAAUGUGGUAAUUAUCGAACAAAUAAUUGCAUAUGGUACAAAGACUUGUAUGGAAAUUAGAGCAGGGGGAGUAGAAAAUGACUACUUUGCUUUGGGCAUCAAUUUAGAAAGAUUUAAAGUACAAAUGUAUUAUUAGUUUAAGGGAUUUGUUUUAAAGAAGGAAUGACAAUUAAACCUUAUGAUUGAUUUGUGGAAAGGAAUCGAUGAUGGGAUGAUUACUUUUAGUGGUAAAAAAAACUAUUAAGGAGGUUAUUAUAUUUGUUAUCACCGGCCCAAAAUUUAAAUGUAGUCACGUCAAAUUAUAUCGAGCUCGCAAUAUGAGUUCACGGACCAAGUUUGCAUGAUAAUAGGUGUUCACAUAAAGGUAUUUAUAGUUUACUGCAAAGUCACAUGUGAGAUCGUGCAUUGGAACCGAAUAGACAUGUUUUAUGUUUAGAAUAUGAUACGUGUCUAUGUGCAUAGAAUCUACCUAGUAUAUCAUAUCAAUGAAUAGUAUCAAUUGCGGAGCCAAAAUUUUUUUGAGGGGUAAGAAUUAAAUUGUAUAUUUUUACUAAAAUAAAAAUUCAAUUUUACUAUUUUAAUAGUUUAUUUCUUUUUAAUUUUUAAAUGAUUAAAUCAAAUUUUUAUAAAUUUUUAGAGAUCAAAAUAUAAUUUUAUCAUUACUAAUUUAAAAUUUUAUAAAUUAUAAAGUAUUUAAAUAAAAAAAUUUCCUAUUUUAGGGUGACCAAGGUCCUGCCAACUUCCUACUCGAUCACUGAACAGUAUAAAUAAAUACCAUCAUCUAAAAUACUCAAGAAAAACACUCAAGGAUAAAUAGAGAGAUGUUGGGUAAGUGUCCAAAAUAUGAUUUAAGUGAAGAUACGUGUGGUAGGUGUCAUGGAAAUGUAAAGACAAGAAUCCCACUAAUGUAUGGGAUGUGUACACUUGAAUGUAGGGAGCAAAGAGGAGCGAAUCAUUGUGGUAACAUUUGGACAAGAAAUAAUGAACAAAAUGAAAGGAGAGGAAGCUAGUAAAAGAUUUUUUUGGGUCAUAUAAUUUGUUUGGUAUAUAUUUUUUUAAUUUUUAAAUAUCAUUUUGGAGUUGAAUUAUAGUUUCUUUUUAUGUUUUAAAACAUAAUUAUUUUAUUUUUAGAGUGUCAAAGUAGAGGUGAGCAUGGAUCAGACUACUCGGCUCGGCCGGAAGAUCUGUCUGAAAUGUGAGAGGUUUGAGCAAAAAUAUAGGCAAAAAAAAUGGGCUUGGACAAAAAAUAUAAGGCUCGUUUAGAAAAUGGGUCGGGCCUUGAGUAAGACAUUUUUGGCCUCGAGCCUGGCCCGGCUUGAAUUCACUAAAGGACAAAAAAAAUUAAUUUUUUAAAUAUUAUUUUCUUGUUAUUUUCUUCCUAUUUUGCUACCAUUGUACUAUUAUGUUACUACUAUUUUGUUGUUAUUGUUUGGAUAUUGUAUAAACCUUAUUUUAUUGUUAAUUUUGUUAUUAUUUUAAAGACAUUUGUUAAUUUUGUUAUUAUUUUAGAGACAUUUGCUUGUUAAGUUGCAUCUAUCUUAGUGUUAUUUAAGUAUACAUAUUUUUUAAAAUUUAUUUUCAAUUUGUUGGAAAAUAUUUAUUUUAUAUUUUUAGUAUUUUAGAUGUAUUAUAUAUAUUUUAAAAUUAUAUAAAAAUUAAUAUGGACAGGAGGGUCGAGCCCGAGUUUUAGCAUUUUUAUUCGGGUUAGGCUUGGACAAAAUUUUAAGCCCAUUUUUUGGGCCGAGCCUAACAAACAGUCUUGAAUUUUUAGUUGAGCUUGGCCCGGCCCAUGCUCACCUCUAGUUCAAAGCUGCCCUCGCUUUGCAUUUCUUUGAGAUUCAGUUUUAUCUACUGUUGAUUGGCCACUCAAUUGAGGGUUGAAUAGAAAGAUUUGGUGAAGCAAGCUAAGCUAUCAAUCAAGGUUGGAGAAAGCUUAGGAGAUCACAAUGCAUAAUUAUUUAAAUGUAAUUCUAAUAUUUAAAUAAAAUUUAUUAAUUUAGUAUUAACAAGCCUUAAAUGUAAUGAUCAUAUACUAUUACAUUUUCAAGAAGAAAAAAUAUGUUUGAACCUUAAAAACAACAUUAUUAAAAAUAAUAAUCACAAAUCUUAAAAUAUAAAAAAUAUAAUUAAAAAUUAAUUUUAAACUCGAGCUGUAACAGCCCAAAUUUCAGUGGUGUCGGAAUAGUGAUGUGAGAUCACUAAAUACGACAUGUGAGUUUAGAUAUUAGUAAGUAAAAGUUAAGUGUGAUUUUAGAAAUAUUUUUGAAUUAGUGAAAUUGUGAAUUAAAGAAAAUUUCUAGAUAAAAACGAGGUAUCGAGACCUCUAAUUCAUAAACCAAGCCAUAAAUAUUUUUAGAAAUAUUUAUGGAGUGUUACUAAGUUAGUAUUAAAGUUUUGUUAAGAGAUUUUAACAUUUCAGUAAUUAAUUGAAGAAAAAUGACUAAAUUGAAUAAAGUGUAAAACUAUCAAAUAUGAUUAAAUAGCUUAAGAGAUCAUUAAGGAAUGAGUUAAAAGGUAAAUAGACCCAAAUUAGGUGGGUUGGACGGCAUGAGUGUGCAGGAAAUGUAAAAAAAUCAAGUGUGAACAAAGGGCAAAAGUGAAAAUAGGGUAAAAUUUAAUUGUAAAAUAUGAUGUAGUUGGUAAUUUUAGAGAAUUCAUCAUUUUUCUUCAUCUUCAUCAGCUAAAAACACCAUUAGAGAGCUUUUAAGAAGCUGGUUUUAUAUUUUACAGCAUGUAAGUUCAAUUCUUGAUUAUUUAGUUCAAUUCUUGAUUAUUUCUUGUAAUUUUUGUGUUUUUUGAGACUUUUACAAUUGGGUCCUACUAUUUAACUUAUUAGUUUUUGCUUUUAUGAAUGGUUUAGAAAGUUUCCAUAAAUAAGAGCUGAAAUUUUAUGAUGAUUUAUUAUGGAAUUGGGACUGUAAGUUUAUUAUAUGAUGAUUUUAUGAAGAGAUUUUAUAAGAAUUGAUUUUUAGGACCUAAUUGUGAAAGUCGUUGUAAUUAGGGUUUUGUGUUAAAACUUUGAAUUUCAAAGGCUUGGAAGUAGUUAUAAUGUUUAGAUAAAAUGAUAUUUUAGAAUAAUUAGUUCAAUUGAUGAACAAAUUGAGCAAUGACUAAAUUGUAAAAAUUGAAAAGUUUGAGAAAAAAUGUAAUUUCAAAAAUUAAAGGGUAUAAAUUGUGAAGUAGAAUAGAAUUGAAAUAGAUGCUCAUGAGGGAAUGAUUUUAUAAUUACAGAUCAAGAAAACGAAGUGAAUCGUGGAAAGGAGAAAUUGCAAGAAUAUUCCCUGAAAUUUCUACGACUUUUGCAAAUCAGCCCAGUUAAGUUCAUAUGGAAAAAAUUAAUGUUUUGUUAUGAAAAUCUUAUGAUUUGAUAAGGUAUAUUAUUAUAGAUGAAUACUAUCAAAUUGUAAUAAUUAUGAAAUAAUAUUUAAGUAAAAGUACAAAUUAGUUGGAACAAUGGAUUUGAGUGCUUUCGUUCUGUGACCAUGAUGAAUUGAUGGAAAAGGUGUGAUAUGUGCGCCCGUAUAAGACCAUAGCUGGGCUAUGGCAUCGGUGCAAUGUGAUAUGUGCUCCUGUAUAAGACUAUAGUUGGGCUAUGGCAUCGGUGUGAUGUGAUAAUGUGCUUCUGUAAAAGACCAUAUUUGGGAUAUGGCAUCGGUAUGAUAUGUGACCCGUGUAAGACCAUAACUGGGCUAUGGCUUCGGUGUGUGAUAUGUGACUAUGUGCAAGUCUAUGGUUUUACCAUGGCAAUGUGAUAAUGAAGCACUCAAUUCCAUUAUUGUUUCCUAAUUUGACUAUGAAAGUAAAUGAGAAAUAGGCCCAAGAGAUCUAAAAUUGGUGAAUAGUGACAUUGAAAUCAAUCAAAUGAGUUUAUUAAUGAUUUGUGAUUUACAGGAAGGUUUAGUGAAAUUAAAUAUUAUAUGAUUGUGUGCAAUAUUCGGUAAGAUUUAUUUUUCUGUGCUUAUGAGCGUACUAAGCUUCAAUAAGCUUACUUGUGUAUGUUAUUUGUUUUGUAGAUUGACUUAUAUACAUACGGAGGAUUGGAUCUACAUCGAGGAUCACGCUAUCCAGAUUUAUUCUGGUAGAUUUUGUUAAACAACUUUUUGAUUUAUAUGGCAUGUAUAGGGUUGAUUUGAUAAUGUAAUAGUAUGAAUGAUUAAGUAUGUAAAGUAAAUUGAAUGCGAUGGUUGUGUUUGAUAAUGAAAUAUACAUGUUUUGGCUUGAAAUAGUUGAUUUGUUGGACUUUAUUAGUGUAUAAAUGUGAUUUUGUGCAGGAAAAUAUUAAAAGGGUGAGAAAAGAGGCAUUAAAUGACCUAUUUUCGUCCACACGAGUAGGCGCAGGACAUGUGUGACACACAACCUACUAUAUGGGCAUGUGAUAAGAUCGUGUGUCCCUUGCAACUUAAAAAUGAGAAUCAGAAUGUCCAGGUUUAGGCACAUGGCCUAACAUAAGGGCGUGUGGCUUGACCGUGUGACACACCCACGGGCUUUAACAUGGCCGUGUGAUACGGCUGUGUGAAGUCUGCACUUAAAAUGUGAAAUUUAAUUAUCACACGGCCUAGCAACACAGACGUGUGCUCAGGCUGUGUGACUCAAGUUUCUUCUUGAAUGCAAGUCAGAGAGCUCCACGGGCUUGGGACAUAGGCGUGCGUGACCACACAGCCUACCCACACGGGCGUGUCCCUAUCCACACGGGCGUGUGGCCCUGUUUCAUGAUAAUUUUUUUUAAAAUUUUCUAAAAGCUCUGAAAGUUCUUAGUUUGGUCCCGAUCUAUCUCCAACAUAUAUUUUGGGCCUCGUAGGCCCGUAUAAGGGACUUUAAGCAUGUGUUUGAAUAAUAGUUAAUUUGGAAUGAAGUUUUAUGAUCUGGUUUUGGGUGUUUAAUUGUGUUUAAGCCUGGUAAUACCUCGUACCCUGUUCCGGCGUAGAAUACGAGUAAGGGGUGUUACACAAGCUGGAUAAAAUUCUAAUUUUUGAUAAUGAUAGUAAUAACAAAUCAAUAUUUAAAUUAAAAUUAAAAUUAAUUUAGUAUAAUAUAAUUUUUGAGUUUUCGGCAAAGGCACUCAAUGAAUGCUUGGAAAGAAAUAAUGCAACUUAGUGAAAUAAUGCAACUUAGUGAUAGCUUUUGUUGGAGUUAUAUGCUGUUAUUAUAGUUUUAUGUUUUUAUCUUGCAAAAACAACAUAUUGGAGUUUUCGGUGGACUUUUAAGUUUCAUGAUUUUUUCCUAAUACUUUACGUGAAAAAAAUAAUGGUACUUAAAAAUCUAACAAAAGCUUCUCUAUAAUUUUUAUAAAAAAAACAUUGCUACAAUAUUACAACACAAAGUUACAAUAAUAGCUUAUAACUCAACAAAGGCUAUCAAUAAAUAAUCUCAAGCAAGUUAAAGAGAAAUGUUGAGAAUACCACCCAAAUAGUGACCGACUUUAAAAGUUGAAAACCCAAAGCUAUAGUAUCUCAAACGAAAUCAAACCAUAAAUAUUAAAAUUUUUCGAGUCUAUUAGCUACUGUAAAAAAAUUUAGCUCCAACAGACACCAAAUGAGCCUUUGAUUGAAGAAAAUACGAAAACUAGUCUAGGUAAACCAAGCUGCCAAACUUACUUAUCUUAUCUUUAAUCUGCCGUGAAAUUCAAAACUAAGUUUUUGUUUAUUUCACUUAGAACGACUUUCAAAAAAUUAUUUUUGAAAAAUGGAUUGAUUUUUUUGAAAUAGAUGAUAUUUUAUUGUGUUGAAACUUUAUUCGUUGUCUGAAAACUUUUUUUAAAUUAUUUUCUUAGAGUUAUUUUUAGUGAAAUAAACAUAACAUAAAUAUAUUUGUUAUAAAAAAUUAUAUUAGUAUUUUCUUUUGACAAUUAAAAUUUAUUUUAUGAUAAGACAAUAUUUUACAAUAAUUAAUAUCAUAUAUAUACGUAAUAAUAAAUCAUGUUUAAUUAAAAUUUAAUUUAAAUUAAAUAUAUUAAUAAAGCUACAUAUAAUCAUAUUUUAUAUAAUUAAAAUAUUAAUAUAAAUAUUUUUCAAUAAUAUAUUAAAAAUAUUAAAAUUUAAUAUUAUUAUUACUAAAAUUAAUUAUUAAAAUAAAAAAUGUAAUAUUAAAUAAUUUAUUGUAUUAUUAAAUAUAAAUAAUUAAAUAUGUAUUUUAUAAUAUUUUAAUAUUCUUAAACAGCCAUGUUUUAUAGAUGCUGGUGAUCGUGAUGGUGCAGGCCCUUCUUGUUAUAAUUACUAUAAUUUCUAGUGCAAUAAUUGAAGUUGUUGGGUGGUCAAGCAAACCUCUUUUUGACUGAAAUGCAUGUAAUAUACUGGGCGAAUCUAGAGGGGUUCGCGUGGUACCGGUCUCUCUAAAGUUUAAAAUUGUUAUUUAAAUUUUUAAUUUUUUUAAAAAAUUUUAAAUUUAAUAAAAGUAAAAUUAUAUUUUUAGCUCUUAAAAUUAUAAAAAUUAUAUUUAAUCCUUUAAAAGUUAUAAAUAUAUAGACUAAAAAAUUAAAAUUUCAUUCGGCUUAUUAAAAGAUUAUUCUGGCUUUGCUCUUGAUACCGAUGUUGAAUAUUUUAGAGUAUGUUUCUUUAACAUGGUUCAAUUAUAUAUUUAUAUAAUAUAAUUAUUGUUCAUGAAUGUGACAUCGUAACUAAGUUCAUAUGCAUGUCAACAUAUAUAUUAUUUUAGGGUUAAUACGUUUUUUUUAAAUGUGAGUUCACCUAUAUAAUGGUAUGAACCCGUCACGCGGUCUCAUGAAAUAUGCGAAUAUAUGUCGUGCGAACACAAAGUACGAACUACACAGAAUAAGGACUAAGACCCAAUUGGGUAAUCGGAUACGGAUCAGUAAUAAUGAAUUUCAUAACAGCCACCAUCCCCUCAUUUGUUCUAAUUUAUUUUAUUUCCAGUGAGUUAUUGUUUAUGAUAAUUCACAACAAAUGUUUUUGUCAUUAUUUUUUGGUAAAUAAUAAUAAGAUUAAACUCUACUUUCUUAAGCUCCUUCAAUUCUUUGGACGUUGGUGGUUUUUUAUUCUAAUCUUAUUUUCUUAUUAAUUUCUUUUUUAUAAUAAAUGUGUUUAUAGAUUAAAUUGGAUUAUAAUUGAGUCAUUGUAUGGAAUUAACAUAAUUCAUAUCGAUUAAAAUUUAUUCGACUGGAAAUACAAAUUUAAAAUUUUACUUCAAUUUAUCUUAAUUUAUAAAUGAUGAAUUUAAAUUUAUUUUUUUCUCUCAUUAUAUUCAGUUUUCCGGAUAAGAUUUGGCCCAGAACAAAAACUAUAACAAUAAAACAAAUAUAUAUGUUUUCCAAAAAUUAAAUUGUUAACUUUUAAAAAAAUAUUUUUAGCUAUUUCUCAUCAUUGAGAAUAAAAAUAAGGUCACCUCGCCUCAUGCUUCAACAACUCAACCUAGAUUCUCAUCACCUGUAUUUAUCAUCGAUUCAGAUUUUUAUUUUUACUAUAUUCAAGAACUACCUAUAAAUCUAUCUUCAAACUUCCUCUGGUUAAGUUCAUUCAUAGAUAGGUGAGUAAACUUGAGCUUCAGCUUCAACAAACACCAUAGUUUGAAGACACAAUUCUCUCAUACUAAAAAUAUGGAAGUUUACCAUGUAAUUAGAGAUUUGGUCUCAUUGCUUGUUGUUGGGUUAUUAAUGAUAUGGGGAUGGAGAACUUUAAACUGGGUAUGGUUGGCCCCAAAGAGGCUCGAAAGGUGCUUGAGACAACAGGGUUUUGCAGGGAAUACUUACAGGUUCCUUUCCGGUGACAUAAAACAGCUCUCAACUAUGGGCAGACAAACAAAAGCCAAACCUAUGCCUCUUAGUGAUGAUAUUGGGCCUUAUUGUUGGAGUUUCAACACACUUUAACCGGGUAAAGUAAGAAUUUUAAACAGAGCACUAGCAGCAACGUAUUAUACCCGGAUAAAAUAUGAAGGAAAAAUGCUUGGAGUUCAAGCUUUUAGCUACUGUCAAGAAUGAAGAACAGAACUUAGAAGUUUUUAGAAGGCAAAAAAAGAUGGAGCAUAUGGAAGAAAAUCUGAUGAUUUCAUUCAUUGAAACAUUGGCUUAAAGCCAUUACAUAUACCAGUCAUUUGGCUGGUCAAAAGAUUAACAAAUCCUUUACCUAAACACUACCUAACUCCACUAAUUACAUAGGGACUAGGUGAUUUUACUUGCAAACAUAAACAAAGAUGGUGAUCAGCUCUAUCACCAUCAAAUUACAUCAAACAUAAACUAAACUAAGUUCAAAAUGAACUAGAUUACAAAAGCAUAGUUAAACGGUAACAAAAUGUAACUGAGACGGAAAAGAAGUAUCAACCCCUUCAGUUGCAUGUAUUUUACUCGGGUAACUUGUGUGUAUGAAUUCUUGCACAUACUUUACCCGGAUAACAUAAGUGCAUUAAUUUUCACGUGCUUGAAUCUGCAUGGGCUGCAUGGGAACUAACUUCAACACUUAUGUUGCUCCUUUUCUUCAUCAAAUUGUCAACCAGUAUGGUUUGUUUUUUAUUUAUUUAUUUAAUCUUCAAUUUAUGAUAAUUCUUUGUUAUUUAUGUAUGGAAUUUAUUGGGAGGAAAUGCAGGAAAGAAUUCAUUUACGUGGUUUGGUCCAAGACCAAGGGUGAACAUUACUGACCCUGAAAAAAUAAGAGAAAUACUUAAACAAAUUUAAUGACUUCCAGAAGGUACAUACCAAUCCACUGCUUAAUUUGCUUGUAAGCGGCCUUGUUAACCUCGAAGGAGACCGAUGGAGCAAGCGUAGAAAAAUCAUAAACCCUGCAUUUCAUCAAGAUAAGUUGAAGGUAUAGAAUAGUGAUGGGUACUCAAGACUUUACAGAAAACAUCAUACUUAAACCUAUGCUUUUCUGAUUUAGAAAUAAUUGGGUGCAGAAUAUGUUGCCAGCAUUUUAUCAAAGUUGUAGUGACAUGUUAAGCAAAUGGGAGAAGAUGGUGUGUACAGAAGGAUACAGUGAGUUAGAUGUGUGGCCUUAUCUCGUAGAUUUGACAAGGGAUGUGAUUUCCCGAUCUGCUUUUGGAAGCAGCUUCGAAGAAGGCAAGCGAAUUUUCCAAUUACUAGGCGACCAACUCGUUCUCAGAAUCAAAUUAAUACAGAUUGUUUACAUUCCAGGAUGGAGGUAACCCUCAACUUAAUUUACUUGAAAAAGGUUGCAAAUGUUGGAAUUCGCUAAAAUCGUGUUUGUUUUCUUGAAGGUUUUUGCCAACAAAGACAAACAGGUAGAUGAAGAUGAAACAGAGACACAUAAAAGAGUCGCUUAGGGAAAUGAUAAAGAGAAGAGAGAAGGCAAUUAAAGCAAGGGAAGAGAGCAAUGAGGACUUGUUGGACAUACUUGUGGAAUCCAAUAUCAGAGAAAUGGAAGCAAAGAAUAUGGGGAUGAGCAUUGAGGACGUGAUUGAGGAAUGCAAGCUGUUUUACUUUGCUGGCCAAGAGACCACUUCAGUCUUACUGGUGUGGACUAUGGUUUUAUUAGCAAGGUAUGCCGAUUGGCAAAGUAAAGCAAGAGAGGAGGUUUUGCAUGUUUUGGGUGACAGUAAACCUGAUGUUGAUGGCCUUAAUCGUCUCAAAGUUGUAAGUCCCUAGCAUGUCUUUUGAAGGUCCGAUCAAUGAGGUCGACAACUCAAAAACUUGGUUUCUUUUUUCGCUAAUUCUACAGGUAACAAUGAUAUUGUACGAGGUUCUAAGGCUGUACCCAUCAGCGACUGAGCUAGGACGUUCCGUUCCAGAAGAAAUAAAACUGGGAAAUUUGUUGUUGCCAGCAGGAACAGAAGUUUCGGUUCCUAUCCUGCUGAUCCACCAUGACAAAGAUCUUUGGGGCGACGACGCACGGGAAUUUAAGCCAGAGCGGUUCGCGGAAGGGGUUUCCAAAGCAACAAAGAGUCAAGUCACGUUUCUGCCAUUCGGAUGGGGUCCUAGGAUUUGCAUUGGCCAAAAUUUUGCUAUGAUGGAAGCCAAAAUGGCAGUGGCUAUGAUUCUCCAACACUUCUGGUUCGAGCUUUCCCCUUCCUAUGCUCACACUCCUUGCAGCAUGGUAACGCUUCGUCCACAGCAUGGUGCACAGAUAAUUUUACAUAAACUUGGCUGUAAUUGAAUAGUUAUGUAAACAAAUUUUUGUGAAAAUAUAGCGUUUUAGUGUAUCGUCAAAGUCCGGUGUCUGUAAUGGUACAAUUCCGAUGCAUGAAUAGUAAAUUUUGAGAUGUUUGGUGAAGUCCGAAAUAAUAUGCAGAAAUUGAGUGUCUUGAAUGGAUGUAGUAUUUAAUGGUGGACAUAGUUGAGGGACUAAUGUGGUAAUUAUCAAACAAAUAAUUGCAUAUGGUACAAAGACUUGUAUGGAAAUUAGAGCUGGGGGAGUAGAAAAUGACUACUUUGCUUUGGGCAUCAAUUUAGAAAGAUUUAAAGUACAAAUGUAUUAUUAGUUUAAGGGAUUUGUUUUAAAGAAGGAAUGACAAUUAAACCUUAUGGUUGAUUUGUGGGAGGGAACCGAUGAUGGGAUAAUUACUCUUAGUGGUAAAAAAAAAAAACUAUUAAGGAGGAUAUUAUACUUGUUAUCACCGGCCAAAAUUCAAAUGGGUUUGGGUUGAAUUAUAUUGAGCUCGCAAGAUGAGUUCAUGGACCAAGCUUGCAUGAUAAUGGGUGUUCACAGAAAGGUAUCUAUAGUUUCCUGUAAAGUCACAUGUGAGAUCGUAUAUUGGGACCGCAUAAACAUGUUUUAUGUUUAGAAUAUGAUAUGUAUCUAUGUGCAUGGAAUCUACCUAGUAUAUUAUAUCAAUGAAUAGUAUCAAUUGCGGAGCCAAAAUUUUUUUUGAGAGGUCAGAAUUAAAUUGCAUAUUUUUACGAAAAUAAAAAUUCAAUUUCACUAUUUUAAUAGUUUAUUUCUUUUUAAUUUUUAAAUGAUUAAAUUAAAUUUUUAUAAAUUUUUAGGAGGUUGAAGUACAAUUAUAUCAUUACUAAUUUAAAAUUUUAUAAAUUAUAAAGGACUUAAAUGAAAAUUUUCCUAUUUUAAAGUGACUAUAAAUAAAUAAAUACCACCAUCUAAAAGACUUAAGAAAAACACUCAACAAUUGUUGAUAAAUAGAGAGAUGUUGGGUAAAUGUCCAAAAUAUGAUUUAAGUGAAGAUACGUGGGGUAGGCGUCAUGGAAAUGUAAAGACAAGAAUCCCACUAAUGUAUGGGAUGUGUACACUUGAAUGUAGGGAGCAAAGAGGAGCGAAUCAUUGUGGUAACAUUUGGACAAGAAACAUAAUGAACAAAAUGAAAGGAGAGGAAGCUAGUAAAAGAUUUUUUUGGGUCAUAUAAUUUGUUUGGUAUAUAUUUUUUUAAUUUUUAAAUAUCAUUUUAGAGUUGAAUUAUAUUUUCUUUUUAUGUUUUAAAACAUAAUUAUUCUAUUUUUAGAGGGUCAAAGUAGAGGUGAGCAUUGGUCGGGCUAUCCGGCCCGGCCUAAAGAUCUACUAGAAAUGUGAGAGGUUUGAAUAAAAAUAUAGGCCCGAAAAAUGGGUUUGGACAAAAAAUAUAAGGUUCGUUUAGAAAACGGGCCGAGCCUUGAGUAAGGCAUUUUUGACCUCGGGCCUAGCCCUGCCUGAAUUCACUAAAAGACAAAAAAAAUUAAUUUUUUAAUAUUAUUUUCUUGUUAUUUUCUCCCUAUUUUGCUAUCAUUUUACUAUUAUUUUGCUACUAUUUUGUUGUUAUUAUUUGGAUAUUAUAUAAAACUUAUUUUAUUGUUAAUUUUGUUAUUAUUUUAGAGACAUUUACUUGUUAAGUUGCAUCUAUCUUAGUGUUAUUUAAGUAUACAUAUUUUUUAAAAUUUAUUUUCAAUUUGUUGAGAAAUAUUUAUUUUGAUAUUUUGAGUAUUUUGGAUGUAUUAUAUAUAUUUUAAAAUUAUAUAAAAAUUAAUAUGGGCAGGCUGGGUCGAGUCCGAGUUUUAGCAUCUUUAUUUGGGUUGGGUUUGGACAAAAUUUUAAGCCCAUUUUUCAGGCUGAGCCUAACAAAUGAUUCUAAAUUUUUAGUUGAGCUCUCAGCCCGGCCUAUGCUCAUAUCUAGUUCAGAGCUGCCCUCACUUUGUAUUUCUUUGAAAUUCAGUCUUAUCUACUGUUGAUUGCCUACUCAAUUGAGGGUUGAGUAGAAAAAUUUGGCGAAGCAAGCAAAGCUAUCAAUCAAGGUUGGAGAAAGCUUAGGAGGUCACAAUGCAUAAUUAUUUAAAUGUAAUUCUAAUAUUUAAAUCAAAUUUAUUAAUAUAGUAUUAACAAGCCUUAAAUGUAAUGAUCAUAUACUAUUACAUUUUCAGGAAGAGAAAAUAUGUUUAAACUUUAAAAAUAACGUAAUUAAAAAUGAUAAUCAUAAAUCUUAAAACAUAAAAAAUAUAAUUAAAAAUUAAUUUUAAACCCUGGAUAAAAUUCUAGUUUUAGAUAAUGAUACUAAUAACAAAUCAAUAUUUAAAUUAAAAUUAAUAUUAAUUUAAUAUAAUUUUUGAGUCUUCAGCAAAGGCACUCAAUGAAUGCUUGGAAAGAAAUAAUGCAACUUGGUGAUAACUUUGUUGGAGUUAUAUGGUCUUAUUAUAGUUUUAUGUUUUUAUGUUGCAGAAAAAACAUAUUGGAAUUUUUCGUGGACUUUCAAGUUUCAUGAUCUUUUCUUAAUACUUUAUGUGAAAAAAAAUAAUGGGAUUUAAAAAUCUAUCAAAAAGCUUCUGUUGUAGGCCAAUUUUGGCUCAAAUACAACCCAAUUAUUCAAACCCCUUAAAACCCAAUACAAAAUAGCCCAACUACUAACCCUAGCCCAGACCAAUAAUAAAAAAUAGCAAAGAAAAAAAGAACCCUGGCCACCCCGUGAUGUUUGCCACCCCACGCCUCUGCAGCACCAUUCCCAGGCAUCACACACUCUCACCAACUCCUCCAUACCCUGCAAAAUGAGACAAACACCAAGACAGAAGCUGACAACACAAGAGCAGUAGCAAGAGGCUUAAAAUAUCGUUUUGAAAUGGCUAUAAGAGGGAGAUCCGAUUGUAAAAAUUGGGGGGGAUUCAAUAUGCAAAAAUUGUAUCACGAAUUUUGGCAAAUCAAAAGCAAAAAAAAAGCACAUAAAAAAGGUUGAAUUUUAUUUCCUUUUUUUGUUUCUUUAUUUUUUAUUUUCCUUUUUUUCUUCAAAAAAUCAGUUUUAAAACAAAAAAAAUAAAAAAAAGAAGAAAGGGGAUUUACCUGAACUUCGGAGCCGCGACAUCGGAGCCCUACUCCGUCGUUGAAAUCGGCUCUCAAAAAGGAAAAUGGGGGUCUCUCCCUUCAGAUUUUCGGGCUAAGAAAAUAGGGCCUUCAGGCGCCCCCAAAAUCGGGGUCAAAAGCCCCCAUUCAAGCAACCCCGACCACCACUUACGGUGGCUCCAUGGCGGCGGCAAUGAUGGGUAUAAACCCUAGCAAAAGGGGAAAUGAGGGAGAGAGAGCCAAGAAACUCUCUGUUUUUUUUGCUUUUCAAAAUGGGGGCUGGAAACACAAAAUAAAAAAAAGGGUUUUAAGUUAUUUGAAAAAAAAGGGCUGCACUUUAACUCGUUUAACAGGCCUAAUAUGUGCCUUUUAAUUGAAAGUGAGGGAAUUAUACAUUAGGUCCUUCUCAUUUGCGCAAACAUUCAAUCAUGCCACAUUUAUUUCACUUCCUUUUUAAUUUGGCUUUAAAACUUACGCAUAUUAGCAAUUCGGUCCCAUUUCUUUUUAUUUUAUUAUUUUCACCCCGAAUUUCUGUCUAGAGUUCAAAUUAGCCCCUUUUCGUCCUUUUCUUUUCUUUUAUAUUUUAUUUUAUUAUUUGAUAUUAUGGUAUUAUAAUUGUAUUUUAUUUUCUUGCAUAUUAUUUGCUAUUAUUAUUAUCACCUUCAUUCCAUUAUUAUUAUUGCUAUUGCUAAGUUUUUUGUUGUUUAUAUUUUUAUUUAUAUUAUUAGUAUAUUGUUAUUCCUUAGUUUAUUAUUAUUAUAUCAUUUUUUAUGUAUUUAUCUACAUUAUUAUUAUUAUUAUUAUUUUUGAACACAUCAUGCAUUUUAAAUUAUUACCAAUUUUAAAUAUUUUAUAUAUAUCAUUAUGUAGUAUUUAUUUUUAGAUUCUUAUACGUAUCUUGGUAUUUUAGAUUAUUACAUGUAUACCUAUAUAUAUAUAUCUUUUAUUUUAAACAUUUUUCUAUGCAUUAUCUUACAUCAAAUUUCUUUUUUUUCACGUUAUUCUUUCUAAAUAUUUUAUAUGUCAUUUGAACUAAAUUCUAUUUUUAAAAUUUUUAUAUAUUACUUAGUUACAUUAUUUUAUAUGAAAAUUAUUUUGAACUCUUUUAUUAUUUAUUGUAAACCUUUAUUAUUGUUAAUUUUAAGACUAUAUAGGUAUUUAUUAAAAAAAAUUCAUAAAUAUUAUUUUGGAUUUAUAUAUAUUUUUAUUUUUGAACAAUAUUUAUUUUAAAAUUUUCUUUUACACAUUUUAAGCUCUUUGGUAAAUUAUUUUAAAGUGUUCUUGUUAUUUUUUUUUGUAUUAUUCAUCUUAUUUCAUUUAACAUAUUGUUUAUUUGAAGUUUGCUUUAUAUAGGUUACUUUAUUUUAUGCCCAAAAUAUUAUAUAUAUUAAUUAUUAUAAAUUGUUUUAUAUUCUUUACUUUAAAUUGCCUUUUCAUUUUAAAAUUGUUUUAUGUAUUAUUUAUUUAAAACUGUCUUAUUAUUUUGAAUUGUUUUAUGCCCCAUUUUUUAGAGCUCAAUUUAUUUAUUUUUAUUUAUCACCCAUUAUACGUUAUUUCCUUAUACUAUUACAUAUUUUAUACUUAUAUAUACAUAUAUAUGUGUAUGCAUCAUUUGAUCUAAAAUUUUUGUAAAUAAAUGUAUCAUCUUUCCUUAAAUCAUUUUAUAUAUUUUAAAUAUCCAUUUUUCACUUUAUUUACUUUUAAAACUUAGUUAUGAUCAUGUUAAAUAGUUUUUAUAUCUUAUUCGUUUUAAUUGGCUUUAUACUAUAUAUUUUUAUAUUAUCACAUAUGUUAUUUCAUUUAUUUGUUUAUUUAUUUUUUUUCUCCUUGAUUACUAAUAUUAACAUUUAAAUAAUGCAUGUUGAGUGAUUAUUGUUAUUGCGUGUACCUUAAUUCAUUCACUUGCGUAUUUAUAUUUGUCGUACAUUUGUGAUGUUAUUCUUGUAUUAUUAUUUCAUGGUCUAUACUCCCUUUCAUUUUGUUUCGUUUAAAUCAUAUCGUGCAUCUACCUCAAAUGUAUUUGUCCAAACAUGGACCGUUUUAAUCCAAACAAAUGAUACACGUCGCUUAAGUAUCACACUUGCUAUGGUUUUUAAAAACAAAAAUUUCAAAAUGAGGCAAUGUUUCGCGUUUUAGAACAUCGAGAAAUUGUGCCCUAACUUAUGGGGUUUCGGUUUUCUCGUUGGUUCUAAAUGUCAAAGUAUCCUUUUGAGUUUUAAAAUACACGAAAUUUUAAUUAAAAUUAAAGAUACACCUAUGCUCGAGAAUUCAUGGUAUGGUGUCCUAACUUACGGGAUGUGAUGCUCCGAUAUCUUGAGAUAAGGAAAUCUUUAAACAAAUUGUUUUGAGCUAAUUCAAAAAUUUUAAAAUUGAUAUUGAUAGAAAAGAUCAUAUUUCAAAUUCAUUCCCGAUUUUUGAUUUUCGACAUUAAGACACUAACUAAUCAAUUCGGUACUAAUUUUUGGGCGUGUCGGGGGCGCUAAUCCUUCCUCGCACAUAACCGACUCCCAAAUUUGUUCUCUUGGAAUUCGUAGACCAAAAUGCCGUUUUACUAAACUAAAAUUGUUAAAACAAAGGUGAUCCGAUCACACCAAAUAAAGAUCGGUGGCGACUUUCGUUUUAAUUUUUGUUUCCAAACAAAGUCGACCCCAUCCUUCAAAAAUCGGUUUCGACAGCUUCACUAUAAUAAUAAUAAUAAUAAUAAAUUGUUACAAUAUUACAACACAAAGUUACAAUAAGAGUUUAUAACUCAACAAAGGCUAUUAAUAAAUAAUCUCACACAAGCUAAAGAAAAAUGUUGAGAAUACCACUCAAAUAGUGACUGACUUUAAAAGUUGAAAACCCGAAGCUAUAGUAUCUCAAACGAAAUCAAACCAUAAACAUUAAAAUUUUUCGAGUCUACCAGCUACUGUAAAAAAUUCAGCUCCAACAGACACCAAAUGAGCCUUUGAUCGAAGAAAAUAUGAAAAUUAGUUUGGGUAUACCAAGCUGCCAAACUUACUUAUCUUAUCUUUAAUUUACAGUGAAAUUCAAAACUAAAGUUUUUGUUUAUUUCACUUAAAAUAACUUUCAAAAAAUUAUUUUUGAAAAAUGGAUUGGUUUUUCGAAAUAGAUGAUAUUUUAUUGUGUUAGAAUAUUAUUCGUUGUUUGAAAACUUUUUUUAAAUCAUUUUCUUAGAGUUAUUUUUAGUGAAACAAACAUAACAUAAAUAUAUUUGUUACAAAAAAUUAUAUUAGUAUUUUCUUUUGACAAUUAAAAUUUAUUUUAUGAUAAGACAAUAUUUUAUAAUAGUUAAUAUCAUAUAUAUAUACACGUAAUAAUAAAUUAUGUUUAAUUAAAAAUUAAUUUAAAUUAAAUAUAUUAAUAAAGCUACAUAUAAUCAUAUUUUAUAUAAUUAAAAUAUUAAUAUAAAUAUUUUUUAAUAAUAUAUUAAAAAUAUUAAAAAUUUAAAAUUAUUAUUACUAAAAUUAAUUAUUAAAAUAAAAAAUGUAAUAUUAAAUAAUUUAUUCAAUGAUAAGUACUUAUAUUAAUAAUUUAUCGUAUUAUUAAAUAUAAAUAAUUAAAUAUGUAUGUUUAAUCAUAUUACGUUAUAAUAUUUUAAUAUUCUUAAAACAGUUUUAAAGAUGCUGGUGAUGGUGAUGCUGCAGGCCCUUCUUGUUAAUUUUUAGUGCAAUAAUUGAAGUUGUAGGGUGUGGUCAAGCAAACCUCUUUUGACUGAAAUGCAUGUGAUAUACCGGUAAGUGGCGUAUCUAGAGGGGGACUGGCGUUGCCCUCGCCCCCUCCUCCCCACCCCCCCCCCCCCCCCAAAAAAAAUUGAAAUUGUUAUUUAAAUUUUUUCAAAAAUUUUAAAUUAAUAAAAGUAACAUUAUACUUUAUCCUCUAAAAUUAUAAAAAUUCUAUUUAAUCCUUUAAAAAUUAUAAAUAUAUAGACUAUAAAAAAUUAAAAUUUCAUUCGACCCCCCUAAAAUAUUGUUCUGGCUUCGCCCUUGAUACCGAUGUUGAAUAUUUUAGAGUAUAUGUCUUCUUUAACAAGGUUAAAUUAUAUAUUUGUAUAAUAUAGUUAUUGUUCAUGGACGUGACAUCGUAACUAGGUUCUUAUGCAUGUUAACAUAUAUCCUAUUUUAGGGUUAACAUGUAUUUUUUAAAUGUGAAUUCAUCUGUAUAAUGAUAUGAACCCAUCACGCGAUCUCAUAAAAUAUGCGAAUAUAUGUCAUGCGAACACAAAAUACAAACCACACACAAUACAUAUCAAGACCCAAUUGUGUAAUUGGAUACGGAUCAGUAAUAAUGAAUUUUCAUAACAGCCACCAUCCCCUCUUUUUUUUCUAAUUUAUUUUAUUUCCAGUGAGUUAUUAUUUAUGAUAAUUCACAACAAAUGUUUUUGUCAUUAUUUUGUUGGUAAAUAAUAAUAAGAUUAAACUUUACUUUCUUAAGCUCCUUCAAUUCUUUGGACGUUGGUGGUUUUUAUUCUAAUCUUAUUUUCUUAUUAAUUUCUUUUUUAUACAUGUAUGGUAUUAACAUUAUAUCAAUUAAAAUUUAUUCGACUGAAAAUAUAAAUUUAAAAUUGUACUUCAAUUUAUCUUAAUUUAUAAAUGAUGAAUUUAAAUUUAUUUUUUUCCUCUCAUUAUAUUUUUCCGGAUAAUAUUUGGCCCUAGAACAAAAACUAAAACAAUAAAACAAAUAUAUAUGUUUUCCAAAAAUUAAAUUGUCAACUUUAAAAAUAUAUAUUUUUAGCUAUUUAUCAUCAUAGAGAAAAAAAAAAAAAAGGUCACCUAGCCUCAUGCUUCAACACCUCAACCUAGAUUCUCAUCACCUGUAUUUAUCAUUGAUUCAGAUUUUUAUUUUUACUAUAUUCAAGAACUACCUAUAACUAUAUCUUCAAACUUCCUCUGGUUAAGUUCAUUCAUAGAUAGGUGAGUAAACUUGAGCUUCAGCUUCAACAAACACCAUAGUUUGAAGACACAAUUCUCUCAUACUAAAAAUAUGGAAGUUUACCAUGUAAUUAGAGAUUUGGUCUCAUUGCUUGUUGUUGGGUUAUUAAUGAUAUGGGGAUGGAGAGCUUUAAACUGGGUAUGGUUGGCCCCAAAGAGGCUCGAACGGUGCUUGAGACAACAGGGUUUUGCAGGGAAUCCUUACAGGUUCCUUUCUGGUGACAUAAAAGAGCUCUCAACUAUGAGCAGACAAACAAGAGCCAAACCUAUGCCUCUUAGUGAUGAUAUUGGGCCUUAUGUUGCUCCUUUUCUUCAUCAAACUGUCAACCAGUAUGGUAUGUUUUUUAUUAUUUAAUCUUCAAUUUAUGAUAAUUCUUUGUUAUUUAUGUAUGGAAUUUAUUGGGAGGAAAUGCAGGAAAGAAUUCAUUUACGUGGAUUGGUCCAAGACAAAGGGUGAACAUUAUGGACCCUGAAAAACUAAGAGAAAUAUUUACCAAAUUUAAUGACUUCCAGAAGAUACGUACCAAUCCACUGCUUACUUUGCUUGUAAGCGGCCUUGUUAACCUCGAAGGAGACCGAUGGAGCAAGCAUAGAAAAAUCAUAAACCCUUCAUUUCAUCAAGAUAAGUUGAAGGUAUAGAAUAGUUAUGGGUACUCAGACUUUACAGAAAAUAUCAUACUUAAACCUAUGCAUUUCUGAUUUAGAAAUGAUUGGGUGCAGAAUAUGUUGCCAGCAUUUUAUCAAAGUUGUAGUGACAUGUUAAGCAAAUGGGAGAAGAUGGUGUGUACAGAAGGAUACAGUGAGUUAGAUGUGUGGCCUUAUCUCGUAGAUUUGACAAGAGAUGUGCUUUCCCGAUCUGCUUUUGGAAGCAGCUUCGAAGAAGGCAGACGAAUUUUCCAAUUACUAGACGACCAACUCGUUCUCAGAAUCAAAUUACUACAAACUGUUUACAUUCCAGGAUGGAGGUAACCCUCAACUUAAUUUACUUGAAAAAGGUUGCAAAUAUUGGAAUUGGCUAAAUUCGUGUUCGUUUUCUUGAAGGUUUUUUCCCACAAAGACAAACAGGGAGGUGAAGAUGAAACACAAAGACAUAAAAGAGUUGCUUAGGGAAAUGAUAAACAGAAGAGAGAAGGCAAUUAAAGCAGGGGAAAAGAGCAAUGAGGACUUGUUGGACAUACUUGUGGAAUCCAAUAUCAGAGAAAUGGAAGCAAAGAAUAUGAGGAUGAGCAUUGAGGAUGUGAUUGAGGAAUGCAAGCUGUUUUACUUUGCUGGCCAAGAGACCACUUCGGUCUUACUGGUGUGGACUAUGGUUUUAUUAGCAAGGUAUCCCGAUUGGCAAAGUAAAGCAAGAGAGGAGGUUUUGCAUGUUUUGGGUGACAGUAAAC
rnacentral:lncRNA from 1 species